GAUGAACGCUAGCUACAGGCUUAACACAUGCAAGUCGAGGGGCAUCAGGAAGAAAGCUUGCUUUCUUUGCUGGCGACCGGCGCACGGGUGAGUAACACGUAUCCAACCUGCCCUUUACUCGGGGAUAGCCUUUCGAAAGAAAGAUUAAUACCCGAUGGCAUAAUGAUUCCGCAUGGUUUCAUUAUUAAAGGAUUCCGGUAAAGGAUGGGGAUGCGUUCCAUUAGGUUGUUGGUGAGGUAACGGCUCACCAAGCCUUCGAUGGAUAGGGGUUCUGAGAGGAAGGUCCCCCACAUUGGAACUGAGACACGGUCCAAACUCCUACGGGAGGCAGCAGUGAGGAAUAUUGGUCAAUGGGCGCUAGCCUGAACCAGCCAAGUAGCGUGAAGGAUGAAGGCUCUAUGGGUCGUAAACUUCUUUUAUAUAAGAAUAAAGUGCAGUAUGUAUACUGUUUUGUAUGUAUUAUAUGAAUAAGGAUCGGCUAACUCCGUGCCAGCAGCCGCGGUAAUACGGAGGAUCCGAGCGUUAUCCGGAUUUAUUGGGUUUAAAGGGAGCGUAGGUGGACUGGUAAGUCAGUUGUGAAAGUUUGCGGCUCAACCGUAAAAUUGCAGUUGAUACUGUCAGUCUUGAGUACAGUAGAGGUGGGCGGAAUUCGUGGUGUAGCGGUGAAAUGCUUAGAUAUCACGAAGAACUCCGAUUGCGAAGGCAGCUCACUGGACUGCAACUGACACUGAUGCUCGAAAGUGUGGGUAUCAAACAGGAUUAGAUACCCUGGUAGUCCACACAGUAAACGAUGAAUACUCGCUGUUUGCGAUAUACAGUAAGCGGCCAAGCGAAAGCAUUAAGUAUUCCACCUGGGGAGUACGCCGGCAACGGUGAAACUCAAAGGAAUUGACGGGGGCCCGCACAAGCGGAGGAACAUGUGGUUUAAUUCGAUGAUACGCGAGGAGCCUUACCCGGGCUUAAAUUGCAGUGGAAUGAUGUGGAAACAUGUCAGUGAGCAAUCACCGCUGUGAAGGUGCUGCAUGGUUGUCGUCAGCUCGUGCCGUGAGGUGUCGGCUUAAGUGCCAUAACGAGCGCAACCCUUAUCUUCAGUUACUAACAGGUCAUGCUGAGGACUCUGGAGAGACUGCCGUCGUAAGAUGUGAGGAAGGUGGGGAUGACGUCAAAUCAGCACGGCCCUUACGUCCGGGGCUACACACGUGUUACAAUGGGGGGUACAGAAGGCAGCUAGCGGGUGACCGUAUGCUAAUCCCAAAAUCCUCUCUCAGUUCGGAUCGAAGUCUGCAACCCGACUUCGUGAAGCUGGAUUCGCUAGUAAUCGCGCAUCAGCCACGGCGCGGUGAAUACGUUCCCGGGCCU
rnacentral:rRNA from 1 species